rnacentral:lncRNA from 1 species
AUUUACUCUUGCAGACAAACAGCCUGGCAUACAACUUAUGUUUCAACAGUUUAAGUGGUAUUUAGCUUUCCAGGCCAGUCUUCCAGAGCCCAUUUGUUUGCUAAGCAGUAAAACUAAUAGCAUAAGCUUGAGAGCUGAAAUCCAAAGCCAGUGGACAAUUUAGAGAGGAAGAGAGGAAGUCCAGGAAGAAGAAAAAGUAGGCGAAAGAGUACAGAUUAUAGAGAAGAAAAGAUGAUUGAAAGGGAAGUAUCAGAAGUCAUUGCCAGAGCCCGUGUCCUCAAUAGACGGAUUGUUCUGAAAGUAACUAGUCAUUUCUACCAAAGACCAAUAAAGUGAAACUACACAGAAGUUGCAGACAAAUCUGGACUGCAA